GGGGCUGCUCCUAGUACGAGAGGACCGGAGUGGACGAACCUCUGGUGUUCGGGUUGUGUCGCCAGACGCAUUGCCCGGUAGCUAAGUUCGGAAUCGAUAACCGCUGAAAGCAUCUAAGCGGGAAGCGAGCCCUGAGAUGAGUCUUCCCUGAUACUUUAAGUAUCCUAAAGGGUUGUCGGAGACUACGACGUUGAUAGGUCAGGUGUGUAAGUGCUGUGAGGCAUUGAGCUAACUGAUACUAAUUGCCCGUGAGGCUUAACCAUACAACACCCAAGGGGUUU
rnacentral:rRNA from 1 species